CUGCCCUAGCAAUACUGGUCGAUCGACGGUGCCCAGGAGGUCUUCGACAAUAAGGUGCACAUCGACAGGCUAGACAGCCGCACGCUGGAGCGUGACCACACCAAAACCUUCGCCUGGUGGGUGUGGAUUUGGGACAUGGCGUUCAUCCCCACCAGGCACACCUACUGGAAGUUGCCCCAAGGCACCGAUCGUGUGGAGGAGAUGGAGGGCUACUUGCCUCCCGAUCGCAGGGUGGCCCCGCCGCCCGGCGCCGAGCGCUACGACCUGCUAAUCCAUGUUGAUAGGGUGGAGGACUAG
rnacentral:rRNA from 1 species